rnacentral:misc_RNA from 1 species
GGAAUGGCUGAGGAAAUAGACGUUUGCACAUCAGUCACUACAAAACACCACUUGAAGGCUCGACGAAAGGAUAGAUGAAGGUGAUCAGAAACCUCCCUGCUCUUCUGAGAAUCGGCGGGGUAGUGUCCGACUUUACCGACUAAAACCUUACGGUGGACCGCUUGACGCUCAUCAGGAAUGCCCCGGGACUUCUUUCGCAGUACUACCGGAGCUAGGAAGGAAAUUUUUUUCUUUUUUCUGUCGAGUGUUUGUUUACGAAAAUACUGCUUUCUUAGAACUACAAAUUAAUUAUUAUUUAUAUACCAUAGGUAGAAUCAUAUAUCAGGAGCACGAAGAUAUACGUAUAAAUAUUAUACUAAGAAUGCGAAAGAAAAUUGUCAAAUAUAUAUAUAUAUGAAUAUUUCAUAAUACGAUUGAUUUGUAAAAGUUAUCCGCCAAAUUGAAUGUCCGCUAUUACAACUUCAAAUAUUUUAUGCAUUACGUGACUUCGUUCUAAUGCAACAUGGCGCACUUUUCUGACCGUUAAACAAAGCUGCGCAAUACGAAAAAUACGCGAUGUGCAGAAACUGUUCAAACUUGUCUGUGACAACGUACUUUCUCGAAUGUAAUAAAAGUUAUUGAGAAAGACGACAUUACAGACAAUUUACGAAUAACGAAGCAAAAUGAAAAAGUUAUUUGAAUUUCUUACUCAAAUGAAACAGAAUCGAGAGAAUCUAUGUUAAAUUUAUGUUAAACAAUCUAUUCAACUUCUUCGAAAAUAUAAUUUAAUAUAUUCGAAAGCAAAAAAUAAUUUCUUUAAUCUUGAAUUUUUCAUCUUGGUGUUCUUAAUAAACCGUGAAUUUAGCAUUUGUUAUAUUAGAUAUUAA